AUACGUAGGUGGCAAGCGUUGUCCGGAUUUACUGGGUGUAAAGGGUGCGCAGGCGGGAUUGCAAGUUGGAUGUGAAAUACCGGGGCUUAACCCCGGAACUGCAUCCAAAACUGUAGUUCUUGAGUGGAGCAGAGGUAAGCGGAAUUCCGAGUGUAGCGGUGAAAUGCGUAGAUAUUCGGAGGAACACCAGUGGCGAAGGCGGCUUACUGGGCUCUAACUGACGCUGAGGCACGAAAGUGUGGGUAGCAAACAGGAUUAGAUACCCUGGUAGUCCACACUGUAAACGAUGAAUACUAGGUGUGGGGGGACUGACCCCCUCCGUGCCGGAGUUAACACAAUAAGUAUUCCACCUGGGGAGUACGACCGCAAGGUUGAAACUCAAAGGAAUUGACGGGG
rnacentral:rRNA from 1 species